CAGUAGCCGCGGGAAUACGAAGGGUGCAAGCGUUACUCGGAAUUACUGGGCGUAAAGCGUGCGUAGGUGGUGGUUUAAGUCCGUUGUGAAAGCCCUGGGCUCAACCUGGGAAUUGCAGUGGAUACUGGGUCACUAGAGUGUGGUAGAGGAUAGUGGAAUUUCCGGUGUAGCAGUGAAAUGCGUAGAGAUCGGAAGGAACAUCUGUGGCGAAGGCGACUAUCUGGGCCAACACUGACACUGAGGCACGAAAGCGUGGGGAGCAAACAGGAUUAGAUACCCGUGUAGUCCCUGUCUAUUAUAC
rnacentral:rRNA from 1 species